rnacentral:rRNA from 1 species
UUGAACGCUGGCGGCAUGCUUUACACAUGCAAGUCGAACGGCAGCGCGGGGGCAACCCUGGCGGCGAGUGGCGAACGGGUGAGUAAUAUAUCGGAACAUAUCCGGAAGUGGGGGAUAACGUAGCGAAAGUUACGCUAAUACCGCAUACGCCCUGAGGGGGAAAGCGGGGGACCUUCGGGCCUCGCGCGAUUGGAGCGGCUGAUGUCGGAUUAGCUAGUUGGUGGGGUAAAGGCCUACCAAGGCGACGAUCCGUAGCUGGUCUGAGAGGAUGAUCAGCCACACUGGGACUGAGACACGGCCCAGACUCCUACGGGAGGCAGCAGUGGGGAAUUUUGGACAAUGGGCGCAAGCCUGAUCCAGCCAUGCCGCGUGAGUGAAGAAGGCCUUCGGGUUGUAAAGCUCUUUCAGACGGAAAGAAAUCGGGCGCGUGAAUAGCGUGCCUGGAUGACGGUACUGUCAGAAGAAGCACCGGCUAACUACGU